ensembl:lncRNA
AUUGUCUUUUUGGUCAAGGCUCUCUAUGGAAGGUUCAGCAACUGAGGGAGCGGACUUAAAUGAGUAAGCAGCUGAUGAGCCAAAAAGAUGCAAAACAUUAUCAGGCAGCUGGUGCUCAUAGCAAGCCUCACCAGACAGCUUCAGUCCAUAUCGAAUGUACAGGAUGGAGUUAAGGGUCUGCAAGGACAUCCCAUUUCUAGUUAUGCUUUUUACCACACUCAUCUGGCGGAAUACUCUCUCGACUUCAGCAUUCGAGUGUGGCAAGGACAUCACAGACACAGCAGCCAUGGCACAAGGUGGAGCUCAGCUGCCUUUGAACUCAAAGGUAACCAAGGUACAGUUUGGGACUGAUGUAUCCAUCUAUUGGCUCUUUGAGUACAUCAACAUUUCCCAGUGGAUUCAGCACCCUGCUGGUCAGAGACUUGAUCAGGCUUACCAAGCUGGCAAGUAGCUUAAGAGGAUCUACUUGCUCUCACCCAGCACUACUGUACCUCACUGAUGGACUGUCUGAGCUUGGUGCCGACCUGACUAGAGAUUUGGGAGAGAACGGGGAGUACAUCUCAAGGACAAGGUCACCAUCUCUGUCGGCUGGGUAGUGAGACAGUGUGUGCGUGGCAGGACGUUUGUGUGUGUGUGUGUGUGUGUGAAGUCAGUAUAAAAUGAAUUGUAUUCUUUACUUUGAACGUUCUGUGAAUAAACAUUUAACUACUUUA